GACAUAAAACUGAUGGGCUUCGGGCUCUGCUCCUGCUAGCAAUCCAGGAGUGACUUCCGAAAGCCAACAGAUAGUGAAGUAGUACAAUGAGGGAAAGGUGAAAAGAACCCCUAUCGGGAAGUGAAAUAGAAGAUGAAACUGUAAGCUCCCAAGCAGUGGGAGGAAAGUGAUAUCUCUGACCUCGUGCCUGUUGAAGAAUGAGCUAGUGACUUAUAGGCAGUGGCUUGGAUAAGGAAACCCACUGGAGCUGUAGCGAGAGAGAGUCUUCAUGGGGAAAUUUUCACUGCUUAUGAGCCCAAACCUGGGUGAUCUAUCCAUGACCAAGAUGAAUCUUGGGUGAAACUAAGUGGAGGUCUAAACCGACUGAUGUUGAAAAAUCAACAGAUGAGUCAUGGUUAGGGGUGAAAUUCCACUAGAACUCAGAUCUAGCUGGUUCUCUCCAAAAUGCGUUGAGGCACAGCAGUUGACUGGACCAUCUAGGGGUAAAGCACUGUUUUGGUAUGGGCCACAAGAGCAAUACCAAAUCGACGCAAAAUUUGAAUACUAGAUUUCCCCAAUAAAAGGGAUAAAGGUUAACCAGUGAGACGAUGGGGGAUAAGCUUCAUCGUCAAGAGGGAAACAACCCAGAUAAUUAGAGAAGGCCGAUAAAUGAUCGCUUAGUGAUGACGGAAGUACGAGUGCAAAGACAACGAAGAGGUUUGCCUAGAAGCAGCCAACCUUGAAAGAGUGUGAAAUAUCUCACUGAUCGAUCACUCUUGCGUCGAAUAUGAAUGGGACUAAGUGAUAUUCCAAAGUUGUGGGAUGUAAAAAUACAUCGGUAGGAGAGUGUUCUGCCUCAGAGGGAAGCACUGGUGUGAGCAGGUGUGGACGAAGCGGAAGUGAGGAUGUCGGCUUGAGUAAUGCAAACAUUGGUGAGAAUCCAAUGCCCCGAAAACCUAAAGGUUCCUCCGCAAGGUUUGUCCACGGAGGGUGAGUCAGGGCCUAAGAUCAGGCUGAAAGGCGUAUUCAAUGGACAACAAGUUAAUAUUCCUGUACUACCCCUUGUUGGUCUCGACGGAUGGAGGAGGCUAAGUUAGCCGAAAGAUGGUUAUCGGUUCAAGGACACAAGGUGACCCUCUAUACAUUGAUUCAAAGGUAAAAGAAGAAUCAAAUUUAGGUGUGUACAAGGUGAGGUUGGGGGUGGAUAUUCCUCAUCAUCUACUCUAGCACACAAAAAUCCAAUAUGGCUUAUCCAAACUUUAUAGGAUGCACAAAAUCAUGUAGGAGCGCCCAUAUCAUCAAUGAGGGUGAGUAUACCUCCUCGAAGAUAUGUUAACCAUAUUGUAUUAGAUUCUUCCAUUUGUGAUCU
rnacentral:rRNA from 1 species